rnacentral:lncRNA from 1 species
CGUUACAGAUCCCUGCGUGUACUCGAAACUCAUCACUGAAACUUUAAAUAUUUUUUCUUUUCCCAGAGGAAAGUGGGAGUGAGCUUAAUGAAGAAAUGAGCUUAAUGAGCAAGGACUCUGACCGAAACAAUAGCAUGCGAGGGAUGGCUUUUGGCAUUCAUUUGAACCUGCUGAAGUGAUUUCUAAGCCUUCAGGUAAAUCCUGUGAGAGCCUCCCUUCUCUUAGUGGAAGCCAAGUUGCAAGAAGAGCAGCGAUAAAGAAAAUGAAACCUGGAGGAAGGAGUUUCUCAGGAUCAUAUGACUAGCAAAAAAUGGAGCCACAACAUGAAUUCAGAUCUUCUGAUUUCAGUAAGCAAGAUAUUGUAAGGGGCCAUUAAAACUUAUAUUUUCCCAUCAGCCCCUAGAUUAUAGGUCAGGUUUCUGGCUAUGAUGAUAAAUUCUCAUCACUCUCUUUCCAGUAUUCUUACUUUGGAAGAUAAGAUAUUCAGGAUGCUUACUGGGCAGAGGACAAAAGAAAGGUGUCCACAUCUCCAAUUCCCAUCAGAUGAGCUAUUUUAGAAACCUGCAGCAAGUCGGUCUGGCUCUUCCUGAAAAGGGAAGGAAAGAUCCAUAUUGAGAGACACAUAGAAUUGGACAAGAUUGAGUAAGCCCUGCACUCAAGAAAGACUUCCAGCUCAUCUCCAUUCCUCUUCUAUCCUCAAUCCUCCUCAAUCCCCUACUCCACUUCCUCCUACAACCUGGGCACUGGAAUUAAUGCAUUAUGUUGCCUGAUUUGGAGUUGAAAGGAAUGUUGGAGGCCAUCCAGUUGAAUCCUCUUAUUUUACAGCUGAGGAAACAGAGGCUCAGAGCUAAAAUUAUGUGCUCAAGGUCACUUUCAAAAAGAAGAAUAAUGUCUAAAAAAGGAAGUUCAGAAAUUUUGCAUUAACUUGGACAAAAAUUUGGAACUUGAGAGAUGUGUUCUGUUCUCUAGAGGUUCCCCCACAAUGCAUUUUGGUCUGCACAGAGAGUGAGGCUCAUUAACCAGUAAUAUUAUCUGCUGCUUUUAGAUGACACAUCUAUCCCUUGUAAUCAUGGCUGUAAUACUUGAGAGUCUGAUCAUAAACACAUUUUCAUAACACUUGCAGAGAUUAAUGAGUGAUAAUUACUUUAUUCAGUGGCAAAACCUUGGUUUAGAGUACAUGUCAGAGUAGCAAUUUCUGCUAUUCAUAUUCUUAAAUGAAGCCAUGUAAUGGAUUACUUCCAACCUCAAGUUUGUUCAGAUCCAUUUUCAAACACUCUUCAGUUUCCUAGCCAGUUGGGUCAUUACUCAAAUUUUUAGCAUCUGCCAUCAUCAGACUGCAGUUGUCUUUGCCAUCCUGACAUUAAAUGAACUACCAUUUAAGUGCUGCAGUUUCAGGAGCAGCAAGGAGAAGCUUUGAAAUGUCAUAGAGGAUGGUUUUAAUUGCAACCUAGUAGUCUGAGCCCAAGACAGUGCUUGAAUUUGAUAAUUUCUUCUUAAGCAAAGGAAUCACAUUCACAUGGGCAGCAAAU